rnacentral:rRNA from 1 species
AAAUUGAAGAGUUUGAUCAUGGCUCAGAUUGAACGCUGGCGGCAGGCCUAACACAUGCAAGUCGAGCGGUAGCACAGAGAGCUUGCUCUCGGGUGACGAGCGGCGGACGGGUGAGUAAUGUCUGGGAAACUGCCUGAUGGAGGGGGAUAACUACUGGAAACGGUAGCUAAUACCGCAUAACGUCGCAAGACCAAAGUGGGGGACCUUCGGGCCUCAUGCCAUCAGAUGUGCCCAGAUGGGAUUAGCUAGUAGGUGGGGUAACGGCUCACCUAGGCGACGAUCCCUAGCUGGUCUGAGAGGAUGACCAGCCACACUGGAACUGAGACACGGUCCAGACUCCUACGGGAGGCAGCAGUGGGGAAUAUUGCACAAUGGGCGCAAGCCUGAUGCAGCCAUGCCGCGUGUGUGAAGAAGGCCUUCGGGUUGUAAAGCACUUUCAGCGGGGAGGAAGGCGGUGAGGUUAAUAACCUCAUCGAUUGACGUUACCCGCAGAAGAAGCACCGGCUAACUCCGUGCCAGCAGCCGCGGUAAUACGGAGGGUGCAAGCGUUAAUCGGAAUUACUGGGCGUAAAGCGCACGCAGGCGGUCUGUCAAGUCGGAUGUGAAAUCCCCGGGCUUAACCUGGGAACUGCAUUCGAAACUGGCAGGCUAGAGUCUUGUAGAGGGGGGUAGAAUUCCAGGUGUAGCGGUGAAAUGCGUAGAGAUCUGGAGGAAUACCGGUGGCGAAGGCGGCCCCCUGGACAAAGACUGACGCUCAGGUGCGAAAGCGUGGGGAGCAAACAGGAUUAGAUACCCUGGUAGUCCACGCCGUAAACGAUGUCGAUUUGGAGGUUGUGCCCUUGAGGCGUGGCUUCCGGAGCUAACGCGUUAAAUCGACCGCCCGGGAGUACGGCCGCAAGGUUAAAACUCAAAUGAAUUGACGGGGGCCCGCACAAGCGGUGGAGCAUGUGGUUUAAUUCGAUGCAACGCGAAGAACCUUACCUGGUCUUGACAUCCACAGAACUUUCCAGAGAUGGAUUGGUGCCUUCGGGAACUGUGAGACAGGUGCUGCAUGGCUGUCGUCAGCUCGUGUUGUGAAAUGUUGGGUUAAGUCCCGCAACGAGCGCAACCCUUAUCCUUUGUUGCCAGCGGUCCGGCCGGGAACUCAAAGGAGACUGCCAGUGAUAAACUGGAGGAAGGUGGGGAUGACGUCAAGUCAUCAUGGCCCUUACGACCAGGGCUACACACGUGCUACAAUGGCAUAUACAAAGAGAAGCGACCUCGCGAGAGCAAGCGGACCUCAUAAAGUAUGUCGUAGUCCGGAUUGGAGUCUGCAACUCGACUCCAUGAAGUCGGAAUCGCUAGUAAUCGUAGAUCAGAAUGCUACGGUGAAUACGUUCCCGGGCCUUGUACACACCGCCCGUCACACCAUGGGAGUGGGUUGCAAAAGAAGUAGGUAGCUUAACCUUCGGGAGGGCGCUUACCACUUUGUGAUUCAUGACUGGGGUGAAGUCGUAACAAGGUAACCGUAGGGGAACCUGCGGUUGGAUCACCUCCUUACCUUAAAGAA